GUGAUGAGCACCCAGUAAACGGCUCUCGUAAUAACACCAUGCCUUAAUCAAAAUAAUGCUGCGCUUGAAUAAAUGAUUCUGGUUUAUCAGAUGAUCGACCUCCUCAAGGAAGCAAAGGGUACACAAACCGCCUAGCUGAUUGAAAGAUAUGUCAACCACAAUAUUUUCAACUAAACAUUUUAUUAACUUCACCUUCAAUAGAAAAGGGGAAGAGAACAAUGAAAGGUGAGUGCACACAAAAAUAAAGAAUAUAAACGGUUAUGGUGCACAGGAACACAAAUGAAGAAAUGUGAAGUAUAACAACCAAACUUAAGCAGCAAUUGGCUACUCCAAGUAUCAUAAUAACACAACACUAUAAAUAAAUGAUUGACUGUUCAUGUUAAAAUAUUAGCUACUAAU
rnacentral:misc_RNA from 1 species